UAAUAAAUACACUUCAGCAAUACCGAACUGAGCCUGACUCAGCCGUAAACAAAUAAAUAAAGACGGGUGUCACAAUGAUGAAUAAUAUAUCCGGAGUCAAAUACUGGUCGUGGAUCGCCGCGUUCUCUCUGUCGAUUCUCUUCUGGUCCCAGCUUAUCUGGCUCUCCCUACACUGAAAAAUAAAGCCUCGCUCAAGCGGGGCUUUUUCUUUU
rnacentral:sRNA from 1 species